rnacentral:rRNA from 1 species
AGAUUGAACGCUGGCGGCAGGCCUAACACAUGCAAGUCGAGCGGUAGAGAGGUGCUUGCAUCUCUUGAGAGCGGCGGACGGGUGAGUAAUGCCUAGGAAUCUGCCUAGUGGUGGGGGAUAACGUUCGGAAACGGACGCUAAUACCGCAUACGUCCUACGGGAGAAAGCGGGGGACCUUCGGGCCUCGCGCCAUUAGAUGAGCCUAGGUCAGAUUAGCUAGUUGGUGAGGUAAAGGCUCACCAAGGCGACGAUACUGUAGCUGGUUUGAGAGGACGACCAGCCACACUGGGACUGAGACACGGCCCAGACUCCUACGGGAGGCAGCAGUGGGGAAUUUGGAC